rnacentral:rRNA from 1 species
CCUCCCUCUUGCUGCGUGCUUAACACAUGCAAGUCGAACGGAAAGGCCCUGCUUGCAGGGUACUCGAGUGGCGAACGGGUGAGUAACACGUGGGUGAUCUGCCCUGCACUUCGGGAUAAGCUUGGGAAACUGGGUCUAAUACCGGAUAGGAGCCAUCUUUAGUGUGGUGGUUGGAAAGUUUUUUCGGUGUAGGAUGAGCUCGCGGCCUAUCAGCUUGUUGGUGGGGUAAUGGCCUACCAAGGCGGCGACGGGUAGCCGGCCUGAGAGGGUGUACGGCCACAUUGGGACUGAGAUACGGCCCAGACUCCUACGGGAGGCAGCAGUGGGGAAUAGUGCACAAUGGGCGCAAGCCUGAUGCAGCGACGCCGCGUGGGGGAUGAAGGCCUUCGGGUUGUAAACUCCUUUCGCUAGGGACGAAGCUUUUUUGUGACGGUACCUAGAUAAGAAGCACCGGCUAACUACGUG